rnacentral:rRNA from 1 species
UUCGGUCAGAUGUGAUGAUCGGGAUUGAGGAUUGGCAACGGAGUACCCUUCGGGGCUACCCGUCUGAUCUCUGAUCGUUGCUCUGGUACCGAAAGCGUGCUUACGGUUAUCAAAGUCGAUGGUCAACAGGUUAGAACGGGUUAAAUUCGUUAAGGAUGUUGACGUAAUGGCUUUAAACGACCCGUCUUGAAACACGGACCAAGGAGUCUAGCAUAUAUGCGAGUGUUAAACACUCGCACAUAUGUUAG